rnacentral:rRNA from 1 species
UUGGAGGGCAAGUCUGGUGCCAGCAGCCGCGGUAAUUCCAGCUCCAAUAGCGUAUAUUAAAGUUGUUGCAGUUAAAAAGCUCGUAGUUGAAUUUCGGGAUCAAUCUGUUAGUUGUGCCUUUGGUACGUACUAGCUUAUUGAUUUCUCCCUUCUGACGAACCACGAUGUCAUUAAUUUGGUGUCAUGGGGAAUCAGGACUGUUACUUUGAAAAAAUUAGAGUGUUUAAAGCAGGCUCACGCUUGAAUACAUUAGCAUGGAAUAAUGAAAUAGGACGUUUUGACUCUAUUUUGUUGGUUUCUAGGAUCGACGUAAUGAUUAAUAGGGAUAGUCGGGGGCAUUAGUAUUCAAUUGUCAGAGGUGAAAUUCUUGGAUUUAUUGAAGAUUAACUACUGCGAAAGCAUUUGCCAAGGAUGUUUUCAUUAAUCAAGAACGAAAGUUAGGGGAUCGAAGACGAUCAGAUACCGUCGUAGUCUUAACCAUAAACUAUGCCGACUAGGGAUCGGAUGAUGUUAAUUUUUUAAUGACUCAUUCGGCGCCUUACGGGAAACCAAAGUGUUUGGGUUC